AUGAGGGCCGGGCCUGGAGCCCGUCCUGGCUCCAGACGCCUCCCCAGUGGGAUGGGGCUGGCAGCCGUGAGGCUGGGAGCGGGGGAGAUAAGAUCGGGUGACUCACCGCCUGGCUGGAGGGGCUGCUCUGUGAGACGGGGUGUGGAGCCAGGCCAGGGCAUCAGGCUCGCCGUGGACGCGGGUUUAUCUCCCAUGGAGCGUCUCAGCAGAAGUCAGACCCAUGAGUCUAAAGCCAAGCGGGGCGCGGCCUGGCCGCGGCGAGGGCUGAGCCAGGUGAGAAAAAGAAGAGUUGCCAUAAACAAAUCUUUCCAAACCUGGGAGCCGUGCACAAAGACCAUGGACCCCCUGGGCUGCGAGCCCCUCCCCGCCCCGCUCCAUCCUCCACACCCACCGGACGCCUGGCUGUGGCGUGGCGGGCUCUGUGUCCACCUGCGGCCCCUCUAUGGCCCCCACCUGGCAGGGGCCCAGGGGUAGGAUGCAGGUCCCUCUGCGGCGUGGCUGUCGGACUGCAGGCUGGCUUGGAGUGACCUCCCUCUGGCACCCUUCAGGGAAGACUUGACUGCUGUGCAAACCGCCGCCCGGGUCCCUCUGCCUGAGCCAGCCCGUGCAGGUGCCACACCUCCGCCUCCCGCCACCAUCCGUCCAGACCUGGGCCUGC
rnacentral:lncRNA from 1 species